UACAGAGGGGGCAAGCGUUGUUCGGAAUUACUGGGCGUAAAGGGCGCGUAGGCGGCCUUCUAAGUCGAACGUGAAAUCCCCGGGCUCAACCCGGGAACUGCGUCCGAUACUGGAAGGCUUGAAUCCGGGAGAGGGAUGUGGAAUUCCAGGUGUAGCGGUGAAAUGCGUAGAUAUCCGGAGGAACACCGGUGGCGAAGGCGACAUCCUGGACCGGUACCGACGUUCAGGCACGAAAGCGUGGGGAGCAAACAGG
rnacentral:rRNA from 1 species